UCGCUGUGUCUCUCUAGGUCAAAUAAAUAAAAUCUUAAAAAAAAAAAAAAAAGAAUGUUUCUCAGCCUUUCUCUUUAUACUCCAGGCUCUGGUCUAAGGCAUUUAUGUAGAAACUUGGACCUACAGCCUCAGUACCACUAAUCCUGUUUGUCCUGUCCUAUGAAGUUCAUUCUCUGUAUCUGUCAUCUGGCUCAAAAGUCCAUGUUUCUCACAGGAUUGGCCAGGAGUUGAUGAUAGCUGGAGUUGGGUUUUUUAUAUUAGGCUUGCUACUUUUAAAAUACAUAUUUGAAAUUUUCCAUAAUCAAUUUUUUAAAAUUCAUAUUUCUUUAGCAGGGGCUUCUGCAACAUACCUAUCCGACUAAAUUUUUUGUUUUAAAGUGAUGCUGAAUUGCAGUCCACAAGUAAACCAUAGAUGGAUCUCUAGACAGUCCCACCCCCACCCCCACAGCCACCCAAAUCAGACAUUCAAAACUCCAAAGUUACAGACAUGAACUGGGAUGAUUUUUCACCUUCACAAGCCAUUCUUCUCUUUAAACAUAGGAUUGACCUCAAAUUUAUUUUGAAAGGCCAACUUCUCUGGCAGGCAAAAUUUGAUUUGAUUUAUACACUAUGUUUUUCAAGAAUAUAAAUGUCAUGCAGCGCAGAGGACUUAUAUUCAGCCUGGCACAGUAUUUUACACAAUUUACAGGCUCCAGAGCCAGGGAAGGAAGCCCUCUCAUUCCCAGCCCUCUCAGUCAGAAACCAAAGCGUGAUGGAUGGAUGGAUGGCUGUCCUCAGCCACUUUUAGCUCCCAGCCUUAUUUUGUACUCCUUUGUGGCAGGUGGAUGAGGAGUCAGGUCUUCCCCAGAUUAGAGUUUCCCAAAGAUACACAGUCCAGGGAAAGGAGGGAGGCUGUUUGUGUUUUCCAAUUCAAGUCCCAUAUGGUUUCCCUGGGGCCAUUUUAUCUCUCAUGUCCUUUGGUGCUCUCCUCUUUGUCUUGCUGUUAUCCGAUCACCCAAGGCCUCUUCAGUCAUCACUGAGGAUAUUCCCACUGGUCAGGGAGCUCCCUGUGAGCAUCCCUUUUAGCACUGCUGUCACAUUUGAACAGCAUCUGCUUUCUGACAAGCUUGAAGACAGAGUGAAGGAAGUCGUCGAGACUUUCCCAGUGGAAGUGGAUAACACAAGCAGCCUUUGGGACUUGGAUCAAUACGCCGUGAGGUUAGUGGCCGGGCAGCUUGUACCAGGGGAAGGGAGGCUGAUUCCCAGAGGGGGCAAGGAUCUCGUGGUCUCAGCUCUGUCGUCUCUGCAGGGUCCUAAUGCUGGCAUGGUUCCCUAAGCCUUUGGCUCCAGGCUUUUCUAGACAAAACAGACGGAGGUAAAAUGCUUGCUUGUGUUUUAAAUAGAUUCUGCUCGCCGCAGCCAAGAAGCCCACAGCUUGGGAGGUGAAUGACCCUUUCUGAGAGGUUUCUGUUGCGCCAUGGCUUCCUGCUCCUGUUCCCUGACCUGACUGCACUGGUGUCAGGCGUCUGCUUGCUGCUCCCCGGACGGUUUCUCUUCAGGCCUUUCUGGUUUUAGUACUUACUACACUUUCAUGGGUUUUCGCUCUCUGCUCUUUCUUGCCCUGAAGCUGUUUUUCCUCAUACUGUGUAUCUUUCCAUCUCUUGUGUCCACUCUGUCAAGUGCGUGUCUCCAUCUGCUGCUCCUUGUCUGACUCUGCCACGGCUUCUCAAAUUGUCCUCUCGCCCGCACCUUCCCGUAGCCUGCUGGGGGACGACCCGCCCUCACCUGGGCUUUGUUGGCCCUGGAAAGAAGUCGGGUACAGGGAUUUCGAACGGAUGGCGGAGGAGCCUAUCCCAGUUGUGGGGCAUGUGACCGCACCAGUCUGGGUGGGGACCUCAGAGAUGCGGCUGUCGCUGGGCAGUGUGGCAGUGAAGUAGGCUGCUGGAGCCGGGAGAGCUAGCCCCUUUUUGGAACGCCUAGAAUGGAGUCCCUAUAGCAGUUCGACAGCUCAGCUGGAGUGCCCGUGGCAAAGGCAGCCCGCAGUGGUGCCCACCCAGAGAACCCUCCACGUACACGGGGGAGCAGGGCUGUUGGCCACGCCGGCUGGAGGGCUGGGACUGGUCUUGGGCAGGGCCUGGGCUGAGGGGUGGCUUCCGGCCAUGACGCCAGCCCUAUCGUGGCCUCCUCUGCCCCCAGGAAGUGAGCUGCAGAGAGGCUCGUGGUUGAAGAAAGAGAAAGGAAAACUCUUCUCUUGUUUAAAAAAUGUUUAAACUGAAGAGGUAAUAAAUGCAUAUGGCAAAGAAAUCAAAAGAUACAAAAGAAUGUAUGAUGAAAAGUCUCCCGCUUCUGUUCUCAAGUUCCCUUCCUCAGGCAUCCUGGAUGUACCAAUUUCUUGUACAUUCUUACUUCUCCUUUUUAGGUCUGCUGUAAUCCAGAAGUUUUUAGAUUCUUGACCCAAUGGAAUAUUUUAAAUUGUUCGGAUAUAUAUGUAUGUAUGUAAUGUGUGUGGAGGGACUAAAUGAUAAUAAAGAAAACUGUAUCUCGG